UACAGAGGGUGCAAGCGUUAAUCGGAGUUACUGGGCGUAAAGGGCUCGUAGGCGGCCAACUAAGUCAGACGUGAAAUCCCUCGGCUUAACCGGGGAACUGCAUCUGAUACUGGAUGGCUUGAGUUCGGGAGAGGGAUGUGGAAUUCCAGGUGUAGCGGUGAAAUGCGUAGAUAUCUGGAGGAACACCGGUGGCGUAGGCGACUAGCUGGGCUGUAACUGACACUGAGGAACGAAAGCCAGGGGAGCGAAUGGG
rnacentral:rRNA from 1 species